rnacentral:rRNA from 1 species
AUACUACACUUUAAUCCAACAUCGAGGUCGCAAACUUUUUUAUCGAUAAGAACUCUUCAAAAAAAUUACGCUGUUAUCCCUAAGGUAAUUUAAUCUAUUAAUCAUAAUAAAUGGAUCAUAUACUCAUACAUAAAUGUUUAAAUAAUAAAAAAGUUAAUUCUGUUUUUUAAUCACCCCAAUCAAAUAUAUAAUCAUUAAGGUAAAUUAAAUACUUUAUUCAAAAUAAUAAUUUAUAUAUAAAACUCUAUAGGGUCUUCUCGUCUUUUAAAAUCAAUUAAGCUUUUUAACUUAAAAAUAAAAUUCUUUAAAAAUUAAAUUAAGACAGCUAUUUUCUCAUUAAGCCAUUCAUACGAGUUUCUAAUUAAGAAACUAAUGAUUAUGCUACCUUUGUACAGUCAAAAUACUGCAGCCAUUGAAUACUAUCAUUGGGCAGGCCCGACUUUAAAUACUAUUCAAAAAGAC